AUGCAGAGUCCUCGUGGGCUGUGUCUCAUAAUGCACACUCUCUGAGAGGAGUUACAUGCUGCUACGUGCUGUGGCAAAUGGCAUUUAGACCAGGAGUUUCUAAAAAGCAAAGAAAGCGUGGAUUUGUCACGCUGCUGGUACCCGCGGGUAUGCCAUCAGCCCGGACGAUAACCAGGAUUUCUCACAGGACCAGAGCUGGUGAAGGACGCAAGGGAGAGCAGCUGCCUCGUACGGGGUGGGUGCGGUGUCAGGAGAGCUGGGACGCUUUGUCGGAAACUUUCAUGGCAUUUCUCGACAGAGGAGAAAGCAAGGAGAGUCUCACUGCCUCUUUCAUGCAUGCUCAAACAUCAUUUGGGGCUCCUCCGGAUGAAGUGUUUGACUCCAGCUGCCAACCUCAGCUGAACUUCAGAAAAAGAGGGAAGUACAUCAGCUAGUGUUGGGGAUGAAAAAUCAAGUGAUAACGCAGGCUGCUGUGUGAUUCCCGCUUAUGCCACUGGAGGGGCUGAAGCAAUCAGACUUGUCUUGCUUCAUUUUAUUGCUUUAAAUUUACGCUGUAGCCCACCAGCAUCAGCAGAGAAGCUGGAGCUAGAGAUGAUCACACAGACGAGCUUGUCCUCUCUCUUUCACUGACUUUUAUCUUCUGUUCAAAAAGUUGCAUAGCUGUGAGCUGCAUAAAGAUACUGACUUCACAUUUUUUUUCACUGAAAUCCCUGUACCUGCCUCUGAUCAGCUUAAGAAGUUGUAAGCUUGCACAGAACUGUGAGAGAUCUGUGCAGAAGUUUUUCCCUUGGUUAAUACUGACUGACCAGUGCAGAAAUAUGUUUUUGUGUAUGUAUUUAAAUGUCAGCUGUUCUGAUCUCCGUCUUGAAGCUUAUAUUGCUUACUGCAAAACCUCACAAGCUUUCUGACAAUUCUUUGUGUAGCAGAACAAGCCCUCUAUGCAAAAAAUAACAGUCAAGCAGUGGGUCAGGUUGGUGUUACUCUCAGCUGUAUGCAUCAGUAGGUGCUGAGGGACUGAGGGGCAGAGAUGUGUACGUACCUCAUGCUUGGCUAUUUUCCCCUGCAGAUAAUGCAUAGAUAGAGUUAGUCUUUUCCCCUGGAGCUUUAGAAAGCCCUACCCAAGAAAAAUUAGCUGUGUAAAAGCAUGUGUCGUGCUUAACUCUUCAAGCAGAGGGAGUGCGUGAUUAACUGUGCUAGCAGAGGAUGAUGCUGCACUAGAGGAUGUGGUGAGAGAUGCAGAGUUAAAACAGCACAAAAAUAAGAACCAUGGGUCAGAACUCAUUCUGUUAGGAGAAAAGCAAUUGGAUAGGAACUGCCAUCCAUUCACAUAAAAGAGUAUCUGUUGUACUUUAAAUUCAAGUCAUAGCAGGACUCAGAACUGUGCUACUGGGAAAGAGAGAGCAUCUCAACAAGAUACUGAAACGUGGAAGAAGAUGGAACAUUUAUGAAAUACUGAGAAGUUGUGUGUGAUUUAUACCAUAUCUUUUAAGCCACAAACCUUUGUUCCUCAGCUAGGCAUUUGUCCUGCCUUGGGUUCCUCAAUAGCGAGGGGGUAGAGGAGAACUCCUGCUUGGUGUCAUUCCUUACAUCUCAAAAGGUAGCAAAGCAUCACUGUGUGUUCAUACAGUGCCCACGAGCAAUACUGUAGGUCUUUGUGAAAAUUAUAACACAAAGAAUGAUGAAAGAAAUGGGAUACACCACAUUUGCCAAAUCUGGUAAUAUUGUUCUCUUUCAUAUAUUCAAUAAUAAUUAAAAAAGAGCCAUGAAAGAUUCAGUUUUAGCUAAUCUGCUAAUGAAAAAGAAAUAAUAUAUCUGUUCUUCUGGUGUGUUUCAAUUACAGCAAUGACAACCAUCAAUAAAAACAGUAAAAUAAGUGAGUAUGAGUUGCA
rnacentral:lncRNA from 1 species